UUUAAUUCAACGUUGAAGAAAUUCAUAACCUGCGGCACUUUUGACAGCCGCCAUGUUUUCUCCAUAAAAACAUUGAUUUUCUUUGCUCAUUUUCGUGUCAACAUAGUUUUUUUGGAAAAUAAGAAGAAAGGAAGUUUAACUUACUUAGAGAAAUACGACUGAGACAUGUAAGUAUCAAUGUAUUAACCUAUUUUUUUUUAAAUAUAAAUGUUACCGGUUGUAGUCAAGAAGGUAUUGUAAUUUACGAUGUAUCCAAUUUCUGUUUUGAAUUGUUUUAGAAACACAAGCAGCAGCCGAUGUGCUUGAGUAGCAGAAGGGGCAACUGCGUUGUGAGAGGGCCACGGCUUCAGCCCUUACAAUGAUAGCUGAUUAGCUGAAGUAAUGAACAGACAGGCUGCAGUCAAUGAGAGGCUUCUUGAGGAGGUGUUCCUCAUAUGGAAAUGAUUUUAGCGGCGACGCAGUUGCACGACCAGUGAAGCUCUGGCUCCGCGACCGGCGUGGAGCGCGCGGUCAGCGCGGCGCUGCUGCGGCUGCUGCGCAGGAGGAUCCCGUCCCCGCGCAUGCGCCUGGCCUUCAAUGACCUCACGCCUCUCUUCUUCCUCUUCUUCAUGCGUCAAUUCAAACAGAGGAGCACCUGUGAUUACUGAUUACCUAAGUUCCUAUAUACAAUAAUAGUUUAAUAAUUGUUAACAAAAUAUUGUAUAUAUAAGUAUUAAUAAUUACUUAUACAAAAGGCUAAAAGCAUUUUGUACCAGCCAACCUAUAGGAGAGAAUAUGAGAAAAAUAAUAAGACUUUAAUCUUUGAUUGCCAUUAUCUGUAGCUUUAUUAAGUGGUAAAGGGACCUAAUUACUACCUAUAUUUUUUUAGUAUUUGUGAUAAUUCAUAGAAUUUAUUAGUUCUAUCAAUAAAUAAAAUAUACAUGCAUUACAAUGUGUUUAAUUCAUUAACUUACAAUUUGCACACUGAGGGAA